GCAUGGCUGAAGUUUGAAAACGAUUUGUGAAAAAAGUACGUUCUUAUCUACGGUCGAUCGUAAUUUCCUGACUUUUUCUGAACCUUCCCGGUCUGUCGCCACCCUGCAACACUUUUUUCGGAUUUUCAUUUACACCUACUCACAAUCGAAACGAAACUCUCAAAGAUAAUGAAUACAAUAAUCGGUAUAAAUCUGCACCGAAAGUACAGCUUUAAGAAUUUUUGGAGAGCAAUUAACGUUUCAGGGUUGAUCAAAUACGCCGAUAGCCAGGUUCGUUAUCGCUUUGACAUUGGUAAGCAUGAUUUUUGUAUCACGUAAUUCACGUGCCUAGUCGACCGGUUGAUCGCGAGCAAUUUCAAGCAGAGAGAAUUUGGUAUUCGGAUCGUACCGGGUACAGGAGCAACGUUCCGUAUACAAAAGUAAUCGAGGGUUGAGUGAUUAUUUGUUGAUAAUUCAUCCGCUACUACUGACUUCAGGCCACCGUACUACAGUGAUUAUGAACAUCCUAUUUUGAUUUGCCCUAAAAAAUAGCAAUAUGUUUAGGCGCAGAAGGCGGGACGGUAAUGAAUGCGAAUUUGAUACAUCGUUGAAUUGGUAUUUACAAGUUGUUUACAACUUGGCUGACAAAGGUUUAAUGUACGUAAUCGUGAUGAUUGACAGGAGAAUUUUAACUAAUAUUCAUAGAAUACGCGCAAUUAACGAAUGUAGAAAACAAUUUCGAGUAACGUAAUUGUAAUUCCUUCCGACCGAUGUUAGUGGAGGACCAAGACUUCGUAGUCCGUAAAUGAAAGCUCUUCGCCGUCGAAGGGGAUGUAGAGACAGCCGUGGCUCGCUUGGACCUGGAAAAACAACGCGUCGAAUCGGCGAAAGAAUGCGAAAAACAGAAUCCAGAACCUUGCGAGCAAAUACGGACCUUGCCGAUGGUCUGAGAUCCAUUGUGAAGGACGCGUCCGACGUAGAGAGGCUCGCCGUCGGCAGUUUGUCCCGCGACGACACCGUCCGGAGGAAUAGAUCCGGCACUGCAGAAUUCCCAAGCAAACUCGCCUUGGCACAGUACCUGGAGGAAAAUACGUUAAGAGGAAAAAUCUGGGUGU